rnacentral:rRNA from 1 species
CGAACGGGUGGAGUAACACGUGGGCAACCUGCCCAAAANAGGGGGAUAACACUUGGAAACAGGUGCUAAUACCGCAUAACCAUAGUUACCGCAUGGUAACUAUGUAAAAGGUGGCUAUGCUACCGCUUUUGGAUGGGCCCGCGGCGCAUUAGCUAGUUGGUGGGGUAAAGGCUUACCAAGGCAAUGAUGCGUAGCCGAACUGAGAGGUUGAUCGGCCACAUUGGGACUGAGACACGGCCCAAACUCCUACGGGAGGCAGCAG